UACGUAGGGUGCGAGCGUUGUCCGGAAUUACUGGGCGUAAAGAGCUCGUAGGCGGUUUGUCGCGUCGUCUGUGAAAUUCUGCAACUCAAUUGCAGGCGUGCAGGCGAUACGGGCAGACUUGAGUACUACAGGGGAGACUGGAAUUCCUGGUGUAGCGGUGAAAUGCGCAGAUAUCAGGAGGAACACCGGUGGCGAAGGCGGGUCUCUGGGUAGUAACUGACGCUGAGGAGCGAAAGCGUGGGGAGCGAAC
rnacentral:rRNA from 1 species